rnacentral:lncRNA from 1 species
UUUUUUCAUUUUCUGUUCUUUUCUUUUUAUUUUCAGUUUACUCAACAUUUUGAGGAUUAAAUCAAGGAGCACAAUAAAGGAGAAUACAUUAAGGUGGAGAAAUCUUGGGGAAAUCAAGUUUAAGCUACAAAAAUGGGGUUUUAUCUAUAAACUUGUAUUUUCUCCAUUAUUUUGCCAUAUUUGUAAUGCAUUGCUAUAAACAUUCUCUUUUC